UGCCUGUCCAACCGUCUAAAAAACGGUUGUUAGCAAGGGCCGGGUAAGACCGGUGCCAGCCGCCGCGGUAAUACCGGCGGCUCGAGUGGUGGCCGAUAUUAUUGAGUCUAAAGGGUCCGUAGCCGGCUUUGCAAGUCCCCUGGGAAAUCCAGCGGCUUAACCGUUGGGCUUCCAUGGGAUACUACAUUGCUUGGGACUGGGAGAGGUAGGAGGUACUCGGGGGGUAGGGGUGAAAUCCUGUAAUCCUCCGGGGACCACCGGUGGCGAAGGCGUCCUACCAGAACAGGUCCGACGGUGAGGGACGAAAGCUAGGGGCACGAACCGGAUUAGAUACCCGGGUAGUCCUAGCCGUAAACGAUGCCCGCUAGGUGUCACGACGGUCGUGAAUCGUCGUGGUGCCGUAGGGAAGCCGCGAAGCGGGCCACUUGGGAAGUACGACCGCAAGGUUGAAACUUAAAGGAAUUGGCGGGGGAGCACCACAACGGGUGGAGCCUGCGGUUUAAUUGGAUUCAACGCCGGGAAGCUUACCGGGAUCGACAGUUGUAUGAAGGCCAGGCCGAAGACCUUGCCGGACUAGCUGAGAGGAGGUGCAUGGCC
rnacentral:rRNA from 1 species